CUGAGUUCAGGUUUCCUACAGGCGCAAGCCCCUAUAGUUAAUUACCCCUCCUGAUAACAGGAGAGAAAUUUUGAUUAAGGCUAGUCUGAAAACUUUGGUUUUAUGAACUGCAUGUUGUUUCUGUUAUUGAGAAUGUUUAACAGGAUUUUGUUUUAUUUGUAGGUUUGAAUCUGUAUAUAUGGACGAAGAGAUUAGAGUUGCCAAGGACAUUCGAGGCGAUUACUUAGUUGUUGAUCGAGCUCCUUAUUCUUGGAAAGAAUGAAGCUUUACGUUCUCAAUUCAGGUUUGAGGCCAUUAUUGUAUGCACCUGGAUGGAGAGAUGUGUAUAUUCUAACUUGAUAGGUAAAUGCAGAUAGUAAACUUUACUAAUGGCUCUUAGAUUUCGUUUGGAACAGUUUUUUUAAUGCUUUUUAAAACGGUUUUUUAGUUAAAAAAAUUUUUGUACUAAAAAAAUUGUUUUUGAAAAUAGUAAUAAAGUUAUC